rnacentral:rRNA from 1 species
UACGAAGGGGGCUAGCGUUGUUCGGAAUCACUGGGCGUAAAGCGCACGUAGGCGGAUUUGUUAGUCAGGGGUGAAAUCCCGGGGCUCAACCUCGGAACUGCCUUUGAUACUGCAAAUCUCGAGUCCGGAAGAGGUGAGUGGAAUUCCUAGUGUAGAGGUGAAAUUCGUAGAGAUUAGGAAGAACACCAGUGGCGAAGGCGGCUCAUUGGUCCGGUACUGACGCUGAGGUGCGAAAGAGUGGGGAGCAAACAGG